CCUACGGGAGGCAGCAGUGGGGAAUAUUGCACAAUGGGGGAAACCCUGAUGCAGCGACGCCGCGUGAGCGAAGAAGUCUUUCGGUAUGUAAAGCUCUAUCAGCAGGGAAGAAAAUGACGGUACCUGACUAAGCCGCUACGGCUAACUACGUGCCAGCAGCCGCGGUAAUACGUAUGGAGCAAGCGUUAUCCGGAUUUACUGGGUGUAAAGGGAGCGUAGACGGACGCGCAAGUCUGGAGUGAAAUCCCAUGGCUUAACCAUGGAACUGCUUUGGAAACUGUGAGGCUAGAGUGCAGGAGAGGUAAGCGGAAUUCCUAGUGUAGCGGUGAAAUGCGUAGAUAUUAGGAGGAACACCAGUGGCGAAGGCGGCUUACUGAACUGUAACUGACGUUGAGGCUCGAAAGCGUGGGGAGCAAACAGGAUUAGAUACCCCUGUAGUC
rnacentral:rRNA from 1 species